rnacentral:rRNA from 1 species
GACGAACGCUGGCGGCGUGCUUAACACAUGCAAGUCGAACGGAAAGGCCCUGCUUUUGUGGGGUGCUCGAGUGGCGAACGGGUGAGUAACACGUGAGUAACCUGCCCUUGACUUUGGGAUAACUUCAGGAAACUGGGGCUAAUACCGGAUAGGAGCUCCUGCUGCAUGGUGGUGGUUGGAAAGUUUCGGCGGUUGGGGAUGGACUCGCGGCUUAUCAGCUUGUUGGUGAGGUAGUGGCUUACCAAGGCUUUGACGGGUAGCCGGCCUGAGAGGGUGAACGGCCACAUUGGGACUGAGAUACGGCCCAGACUCCUACGGGAGGCAGCAGUGGGGAAUAUUGCACAAUGGGCGGAAGCCUGAUGCAGCAACGCCGCGUGCGGGAUGACGGCCUUCGGGUUGUAAACCGAUUUCGCCUGUGACGAAGCGUGAGUGACGGUAAUGGGUAAAGAAGCACCGGCUAACUACGUG